rnacentral:siRNA from 1 species
UCUAGGGAUAGCUUGAUUGCGC